GGAGACCCGAUCUCAAUUCUCGGCCUCACGCGAUCUUAAUCCCCAACCUCACCUUGAGGAGGCCCGAUCUCAAUCCCCAACCUCACCGUCGCCAUGGUCAGGGAGUGGACGACGACGAGAGGCGUCGCCGAGCUCGAGAUCGGCGCCUGGUGGGCGGAGGAGAUGCGCGGCGGCCCCGGGUACCGCGCCAUGGAGGCGGAGGCCGUCCGCCGCCACCACCGCCACGAUCCGACUGACCGCC
rnacentral:misc_RNA from 1 species